rfam:Flavobacterium sp. A45 NODE_38_length_40140_cov_12.6046_ID_75, whole genome shotgun sequence.
UAUUAGCCCUGAUAGCAGUGGAAAUCCCACGCUUUUGGGCGUGGAUUGCAACGAAUAGCAGGAAUAGCU